rnacentral:rRNA from 1 species
UACGUAGGGCGCGAGCGUUUGUCCGGAAUUAUUGGGCGUAAAGAGCUCGUAGGCGACCUGUCGCGUCCGCUGUGAAAUCCCGGGCUUAACCUGGGGGCUGCAUUUGAUACGUGUGAUCUAGAGUGAGGAAGAGGGUCGUGGAAUUCCCAGUGUAGAGGUGAAAUUCGUAGAUAUUGGGAAGAACACCGGUGGCGAAGGCGGCGACCUGGUCCUUGACUGACGCUGAGGCGCGAAAGCGUGGGGAGCAAACAGG